UACGGGGGGGGCAAGCGUUGUUCGGAAUUACUGAGCGUAAAGGGCUCGUAGGCGGCCAACUAAGUCAGACGUGAAAUCCCUCGGCUUAACCGGGGAACUGCGUCUGAUACUGGAUGGCUAGAGGUUGGGAGAGGGAUGCGGAAUUCCAGGUGUAGCGGUGAAAUGCGUAGAUAUCUGGAGGAACACCGGUGGCGAAGGCGGCAUCCUGGACCAAUUCUGACGCUGAGGAGCGAAAGCGUGGGUAGCAAACAGG
rnacentral:rRNA from 1 species